rnacentral:ncRNA from 5 species
GGUGGUGGUGCAUGGCCGUUCUUA